rnacentral:rRNA from 1 species
UAGUAUGAGGAUCUGCCCGAUAGAGGGGGAUAACUAUUGGAAACGGUGGCUAAUACCGCAUAAUGUCUACGGACCAAAGCAGGGGCUCUUCGGACCUUGCACUAUCGGAUGAACCCAUAUGGGAUUAGCUAGUAGGUGGGGUAAAGGCUCACCUAGGCGACGAUCUCUAGCUGGUCUGAGAGGAUGAUCAGCCACACUGGGACUGAGACACGGCCCAG